UACGUAGGGGGCAAGCGUUAUCCGGAAUUACUGGGUGUAAAGGGAGCGUAGACGGUGAAGCAAGUCUGAAGUGAAAGCCCGGGGCUCAACUCCGGGACUGCUUUUGAAACUGCGUUGCUAGAUUGCGGGAGAGGCAAGUGGAAUUCCUAGUGUAGCGGUGAAAUGCGUAGAUAUUAGGAGGAACACCAGUGGCGAAGGCGGCCUGCUGGACGGUGACUGACGCUGAGGCUCGAAAGCGUGGGGAGCAAACAGG
rnacentral:rRNA from 1 species